AGUCAUGUACUAUAGCCCCAACCAUUGUGCAGAUGGCUGGUUUUAGUUCCAACCAGCUAGCACUUCUCCUGUCCCUUGUUAUUGCUGCCAUGAAUGCCGCUGGAACAGUUCUUGGCAUUUACCUUAUUGAUCAUUUCGGGAGGAAAAGGUUGGCCAUCUCAAGCUUAGCUGGUGUAAUUGCAUCACUUUUCAUUCUUGCUGGAGCAUUUUUUGGCAAGUCAUCUGGUUCUUCAAAUGAACUCUAUGGGUGGAUUGCAGUUUUGGGGUUAGCCCUGUGUAUUGCUUGCUUCUCACCAGGAAUGGGACCUGUUCCAUGGACUGUGAACUCAGAGAUAUAUCCCGAACAAUAUCGAGGAAUAUGCGGGGGCAUGUCAGCUACUGUUAACUGGAUCUCCAAUCUGAUAGUAGCCCAAACUUUCCUUUCAAUUGCCGAAGCAGUAGGAACAGGUUCGACUUUCUUGAUGCUUGCGGGCACAGCAGUGCUCGCAGUUGUGUUUGUGAUUAUGUAUGUCCCAGAGACCAUGGGGCUGGCAUUUGUUGAAGUUGAGCAGAUAGGGAAGGAGAGGGCAUGGGGCAGUAGUUACAACACAGAAAGCCUUCUUGAUCAAGGAAACGACAAAUGAGUCUUAGUAGGUGCCGUGCGCACUUGCUGAGCUUGAUAAUAUCAGCGCCAAAUUGUAGGUUUAUAAAACAGUCUGUAUGAAGAUCCUUUGAAUUCAACCCCACUGCAUGAGCAGAAGCCCACUUUAUGUAAAAUUAUUUAAAAAAUAUUUUGAAAAAAAUAUUUUAAAAAGUAAUUAUUGAAAAGUAAUCGUUACCUUCCCGCCACUCUAAGCCUGGAGUAACAGGUUUCAGUGAAACCAUGGAAAUGAUGAAAUUGACAGCACUGUGUUUUUGACUUGCAUUAAACCUUACACAUUACAUGUUAUUUGAUUUCAGAUAUUGGAUGAAUAUUGUCAUCAAUCAAACCAUAAAAACAUGACUGGUAGUUGAAGUUCAGUGUAGAAGCCAUCUACCUUCCAUCUAUCUUCCCUUUCAAUGGCAUACGUAAGCCAAUACGUAUAAAAAUUGUUGUAUUUAAAAAAAGAUUGAAUUUAUUUUAUUUUAUUUUUUAUUUUAUUUUUAUUAUAUUUUUAUUAUAUUUUUUUUAUUUUUUUUAAAUGUCUCUAAAAAAAAUAAAUAGGUGUUUUGAGAAGGUUAAUUUUAAAUUUAAAUUUUUUAUUUUAGAAUCGUAAAUCAAAAGAGUUGGCAUCUAUUUAUUUUUUUUACUAUUUUUAAAAUUGUAAUUUUAUUUAAAAUUUAAUUAUUGAUACUUAAAAUGGUUCAAAACAUGAAAUUUUAUUAAAAAUUUUAAAUUUAAUUUAAUUUAAAGGAUUUCACACAUCUUUAUAACGAAAAUUGUACUCCUUUCUCUCACGUAAGUGAAAUUCAUAAAAAAAAAAAAAUCUAGGAAAUACAACAUUAUGAUCAUCACAUCAGCAGUGGUUCUUUCGGACCACACAAUUUGGACGCAAAAGGCAUACAUAAAUGCAGGCAGGAGCACUCCUACACGAGAAUGAAAAGCACAAAGACUGGUUUUGUUAAUUAGAGAAAUGGAGAAGCAAGAAAGAAUCUGUCAUGUAGCGGUCAUACCUUAUCCUGCUCAAGGUCACAUUAACCCCAUGAUCCAGUUCUCCAAGCAACUAGCCUCCAAAGGACUCCAAGUAACACUGGUCAUCUUCUCAAGCCAGACGCUCUCGACGCCUGCAUCGCUUGGCUCAGUCAAAGUGGUGACCGUUUCUGAUAGUUCUGAUACAGGCAGCAGUUCCAUAGGUGACCUUCUAAAACAAUUCCAAGCUACAGUGGCACCAAAACUGCCACAACUCGUUGUAGAACUAGGUAUCUCUUCUGGGCAUCCAGUAAGUUGCCUAGUGUAUGACUCAUUCAUGCCUUGGGUUCUAGAGAUAGCUAGACAGCUUGGCCUCAUUGGGGCUUCCUUCUUCACACAGUCAUGUGCUGUUAGCUCUGUCUACUACCAAAUCCAUGAGGGGCAGCUAAAGAUUCCACUAGAGAAGUUUCCUGUAUCAGUUCCAGGGCUGCCACCUCUAGACGUUGAUGAACUGCCAUCAUUCGUGCACGACAUGGAAUCAGAAUACUCAUCUAUACUUACCGUAGUAGUCAAUCAGUUUUUGAAUUUCAGGGGAGCUGAUUGGGUCUUUGUGAACAGUUUCAACACCCUGGAGGAGGAGGUACCCUUGAAGAAGUUACAUAAAGAAAAGUAGCAGUACUUCGAAUUCUUAAUUGAAUUCUUUUUUCUCUGCUCAUACUAAUAGAUAUUACCAUAUUUGCAAAGUAUGCUGCCUUCAAUUCUAUGGCACUCAAGAUUUUGCUUAUUUGUAUCAGGUGGUAAACUGCCUGGCAAGCCAGAGGUCAAUCAAGCCAAUAGGACCCAUGAUUCCAUCAGUUUACUUGGACAGGCAGCUAGAGGAUGACACGGAGUAUGGCCUCAGCCUCUUCAAACCUGCUCUCGACGGUUGCAUGCAAUGGCUAGAGUCAAAGGAAACUGGCUCCGUGGUUUACGUGUCAUUUGGAAGCAUGGCUGCUCUGGGAGAAGAGCAAAUGGCAGAAAUAGCUUGGGGCCUAAGGAGGAGCGACUGCUACUUCUUGUGGGUAGUCAGAGAAUCGGAAGAGAAAAAACUUCCAUGCAACUUUGUGGAGGGGUCCUCAGAGAAGGGUCUGAUUGUGACCUGGAGCCCUCAGCUAGAGGUUCUGUCUCACAAGUCUGUUGGUUGCUUCAUGACUCAUUGCGGGUGGAACUCGACGCUUGAAGCGUUGAGCUUAGGAGUGCCAAUGGUGGCAGUGCCACAGUGGACUGAUCAACCAACAAAUGCGAAGUACAUAGCAGAUGUUUGGCGUGUAGGAGUUAGAGUGAAGGCAAAUGAAAAGGGGAUUGUCACAAAGGAAGAGUUAGAAAAGUGUACGAGGGAAGUCAUGGAAGGUGAAAGAGGGAGUGAGAUGAGAAGGAAUUCUGAGAAAUGGAAGAAACUAGCCAAAACAGCCAUGGGUGAAGGUGGAAGCUCUGAUAAGAAUAUUACGGAAUUUGCAGCAAAAAUUGCUAGCAAGUUCAAUGAAACCACAGAUUCAAAAGCGUGAAAGCUAUGCAUGGCUUUAAAACUUGGAAAAAUGCUUCUUCUCCAUCAAUUUAUUUUACAAGAUUCGAUGAUAGUUGUCAUAUGAAGUAUGAACUAUAAAAUACAAGAUCCAAAUCAUGUUUUCAUGAUGAAAGAAAUAAUAUCAUGUUACUCCAUUUCAAUCUCUUUUCUUCUUCUUAUUUUUUAGAAAAAAAUCAAUUAUAAACAAAAAUAAACGGUUAAGAUUCACACUUUGAUAUAUUACACAUAAGAUUUUUAUUAACAUGUGUGAGAAUAUUGUUCUGUCAAUUAUUCAUUAUGAUUUAGAAAGACAAGUCACAAGCCAACACACAUUUCCAAACAAGCAUUAAAGAUUGAACAAUGAUGGAAAAAAUAAGUCAAAAAAAUCAAAAACCAAGUCCCCAUGGGCAAAAUUCGACCACAAUUUUGUGGUGAGGAGGAAUUGGAUGGAAAUUCAACAACGUUCAAAUUUCAAGGGUGCCGAACCCAUACAUUUUUUGCUUCACCUAUUUUUGAGUCAAAACAAUAGUUUGAGUAGUGGAUAUGAGGUAGACGAGUUGUUAGAUAUAUUAUUCAUGGGUUUGGUAUCAUACCGAGUCCAAGUAAGUAGGAGUCCGAUAAGGUACUAGACUUAGUUUUUCAUGCCAAAAUGUAUUAAAAUAAUAUUUUUUUAUUUUUUUAAAAUUAUUUUUGAAAUUAACGUAUCAAAACAUUUUAAAAUAUACAAAUAUUAAUUAUUUUUAUAAAAAUUUAAAAUUUUAUACAACAUGAUUUAUACUGCAUUUCUAAACGAUGUCUUAGCUUCCUUAUACUUUGCUAAACACCAAGCCUUUAUUAAUCAUGUAUCCAGGGAACUAUCAGAUUUAUUAUUCGUAAACUUGAUUGCACAUCAAGCACAUUUAAACAUGGAUAUGGCGACCUUCUCAAACUGGGCUUGGCUUCAAAUUUCAUUCGAACGGCUGAGAAGCUGAAACAUGAAAAACAACAUUUUGUUGUUGAGUAGCAUCCUGUCGAUCAAUUUUCCCGCAAGAUUAUUAGGCGUAAGAGGCAUCAUCAUCGUGGCAGAGUAGAUACGUGCACCCAUAAUAUAAGCUUGAUCUUGGGAAAUUUUCUUAUUUUUGAAGAUUUUGAUAUCUUAGCAAAUAUAUUUGUUAGCAACAACAAAUUGCUAACGUAAGCAAAAAAAAAAAGAAAAUUUAACAUGUAAAAUAUAAAUUUUACAUCGAAUCAAUGUGAAAAUAUAAUUAUUUGUGAGCAUGGAUUUAUUGAUUAUCAAUGUGAAAAUAUAAAUCUCGCUAACGUAAAAAAAAAGAAUUAAUAUGUAAAAUAUAAGUUAGUCAACAAAAACAAUCCAAUAAAUGAUUGACACACGUCAAUUCAAAAUUUAAAAAUAAAAAAUAAUCUUAAAUAAAAAAAGGAUGAAAAUCAAUUUUUUUAAUGAAAUAAAAAAAUAUUGUUAUCCAUAAAUAUAAUUACCCUUGCGUGAGCACAUGCCCUUUAUGGGGUAUCAGAUUCAGGAAUACAGGGCUUGAAAGCAUUGUAUGAACAGUUUUUGUUCGCCAUUAUCCAACGAUGGGCCUUUUUCUGUUAUUUCUUCGAAAAUGAAGUUUAAUUUUUUAACUUUAUUUUAUUUAUUUAAAUAUGCACACCUUGGAAAAUGACCCUCGCCCAUUUUUAAAACAACCCAGAAUCCAAGAAUUAAUCAAAAUCACCAAAAGAUCAUUCACUCUCUUGUAUGGGUCAUAGUUAUAGAACCGAAUUCUCUUGGGGAGUUGACUCAGGAUUUAAUAUCUAGAUUUAUCCGAGCAAAGAAAAAACUAAGAGAGAAAUUGAUUUGAUCUAAUCUGAUUAAAAACUAAAGUUGAUUUGUGAUCCAAUCAAUCUCGAUAAAACCUAACAAAAAAUAUGUUAGAGUUUUUAUAUAUAUAUAUAUAUAUAUAUAUAUAUAUAUAUAUAUAAAACGAUUAGUAAACCCUCCUAAUUUAAUGAACAAGCCUUAUUUCAAAUCGAUUUCCGGCCUUAUUUCAAAUCGAUUUCCAUAUCAAAUUUUUAAAACUAUAGCAUGGAUGAUCAACCUCGUAAUUAUGGUUUAUUUGUUUCUAUGUUUUAAAAACGUUUUUAAAAAUUUUAAAUUUUUUUUAUUUUUUUCUUUGUUUCAAAUUAAUAUUUUUGUUUUUUUCGGAUCAUUUUGAUCUAUUGUUGUUAAAAAUAAUUUUUAAAAAUAAAAAAUAUAUUAUUUUAAUGCAUUUCUAAGCAAAAUACACUUUAAAAAAUAAUCAUUACCACCCUUUUAAACACCUUUUGAAAAAAAAAAAGAAAAAUAAUUUUGCUUUUUAGUAAAAGAAAUUUGUGUGAACAUGAACCGUCCUUUUCUUAUCAGAGACUCCUGGAAACUGUUAACAUUAGAGCUCCUUUCUUCACCUUCCGAGGGAUAGUUGAUGACUCUACGGAGGACGGUCUUUCGUCUCUCUGAUACAGAGUUUGAAUGGCAUUGGCUAUUGAUGAAUUUCUCGCAUGGAAAAACUUUUGGGCAUUGGCUGUUAGAUUCUGGUGGGUGUUUUGGAUUAGAUCUGAAGUCAUAUUCUCUGAAUUAUAUUCAUUGAGGGCAUGAUAUGGUCCUAGGUCCCUGGCAUGAGCCUAGUGAUAUGCUUAGUUAGCCUUAAUAAAUUUUAAACUAACAAGGGCACAAUGUAAUAACAUCCAAGUUCUUGAACCGAUUUAGUUUAAAAUUUUUGUUGGCUCUGCCUUAACGUUAAGGCUGAAAGAGAAAUCUGGUUACUGAAUAUAGAGAGUGCUUUGAUGCAAAGGUCCGUGCCUAACUCCUCUUCUCUUCCAGAAAUAGAAUUCAUAUGUGUGAGUUAUCCAUCAUCUUUUAUCUGUAUUGAGUCCCUUGCUGCUUAUUGACCGUAUAUUUAGGUAAUCAUACGAGUUUAAUGAUAUAAUUAAUUUAAGAAAGAAGAAGUAUAGCAGAGAAGAAGUCUGUGGUCAGGGAUUAUUCAGUAUUGUUGUUACCUAAUUUUUUAUCCAUCUUUUUAAUAAAAUUUUGGAAAAAAAACUAAAAAUAAGGAAAAACAACAAAAAUCCAAAAAAUAUGUUUUUUAAUAUAUUUGCAUUGUUUUUAGUAUUUUCAGUAUCGUCUCAAAAAAAAUUAAUUUUUCAAAGAACUUUGGAACGCGUUAUUUUUAAAAUCACCGAUUUUUCUCAUUCGAGUCGAUGUUGAUAAGAAAAAUCUAAAUAGAAACGUUCGUGACCCGCAGAUCUAGAUCCAUUUCCAACCGAACUCGCCGACUGGACAACCACACCCAUCUCCUUAACAGCAACGGUCGUGACCCGCCACCGCUAGAUCUGCCACCAGAAGGAGAGGGAAAGAACAACAAACCAAAAAAGACUCGAAAGAAGCAGAUCAGGAGAAGGAGAAGAAAAAAAAGGAUCCGUGAAAAAGGAGAAAGAAAUUAAAAUCAACUGGCUUGUGUGUUUUUCUCCUUUUGCAGGUGAUAGUGAUCAUCACCGCUGGUGACGAAAGGAAAAGGAGAAGAAGCUAAUCUCGACCGCCCUGUUUCCCUGUUGUUCUCGCGGACUGUUCUUGCAGUUCUGAAGGCCUUCCCUGCAAUUCCUAGAGUUUUUUGGGUUUAUUUUGUAAAUUUAAAAAAAUUUAAUGUAGUUUUUGUUUAGUUUUGAAUUUUUAUAAUAUGUAGUGUGCAAAUGUGGAUGUAAAAAAGGAAAACAAAAAAAAAUAUAGUGAAAGUGAAUGUGUUGUUUGUAUUUUUUUUAUGGAUGUUUUUUUAUGAUAAAAUUACAAAGAAUAAAGAAAAAUUUAAUGUUUUGACUUGCUCACGGUAAAGGAUUAUAAACUUACACGUAAGUUGUAUUUCUAAUAUCCGAUGAAAGGAUAAAAUUUUUAAAACUUCUUUAUCAUAUCAAAUCACGAAGCAGCUUACCUCAGGUAGGGUGCGUUAGGGGUGCUAAUACAUUUUCUAGCCACAACCAAUCCCUUACCCUUGAAUCUCUGACGAUGACCAAUGCAUUUGGGUUUCCUAGUAACCUUUACUGAAAUACUAGAUGGCGACUCUCAAAUCAUCAAUCAAACAAAUGAAAAUCGCCAACAGACACCGCGCGGGUCAUUUGCGACAAGUACCGUUCUAUUAAAAAUAACUUUGGCAUUUAUAGCCAUACACUUCAUAACAGAAUUAACAAACAAACAAAUAAGAAGGAGUUCCAGCACUCUCCACGUCUAACAAUUAACCAACUGAUCCAUGUUUUGCAGUUCCCUAAAGUAGUGCAGUCACUACUUGUUCCUGUAGCAUGAUCUCCUGGCCACGUUCUUGUGAUAGUGGAUGUGUCAUUCCCGCCCACUUAAGAAUCCUUGUCCAUAAGGAUAGAAGAAGGAUAAGUCCUAGUGAAACGCCAUUCAUUCUCCACUGAUUCGAGUUGGCCAUUCACAGUGUCCUCACUGCAUAUGUUAGGAGAAUCCCAAAUCAUAAAUAAUUGUGGAUGUUGGCAACGAUUCCUCGAAUAAACUUUUCAUCACAGUAGUAGCACAAACCCUUCUCUCUUUGCUCUCGUGCCUCUUGAUUAGUAAUUUUGCAAAAAGACGCUGGUGGUGCACUGGGACUGGUAUUUAUCCUUGGACCUUGUGGCGGCCCUAACACUCCAGCCGUGGGGUUGGGUGAUGUCUUCGCUAUCACUGAGGUUGGUACUGGGUUUGGUACAGACUGUAUUGGGAGAGGGCCUCUCUUCUUCAAUUGAUUUCUUUCCUCGAUCAAUCUUGCCAUUCCAAUGGUAUCUGCUAAGGUAUGGGGUUGCUUGAUUUUAACAUCCAAACGAAUCUCAUCCUGAAGUCCUGCAAUAAAACAACGAAUCAAAAAAUUUCCCGGCAAACCAUCAACUUGAUGUGGGAGUCUCUCAAAAGUCUCUUAAUAAGCUACCACCGACGUGUUUUGUUUAAGAUGAGUCAAGGCUUCAGACGGGUCCUCAUAGUCGGUUGGACCGAAUCUCUGUUGUAUAGCCUUGAUAAACUCAUCCCAUGUUAGUGGUUCACGAAACUUGGUCAACCACCUAUGCCACUAUAAGGCAAUGCCCUCUAAAUGGAAAGAGGCCAAUUAAACCUGCUGGUUUGGCACAAUAUUUUGAAAUUUAAAAUAUUAUUUUGCCUUGUAAAUCAAUCCAGUUGGAUCACCUGCAUUAAAUUUUGGAAAUGAUAACCUGAGAUUGUGGUGUUGAUGGUUAUUAAUGGGGUUAGGGUGGGUGGUCUGGUGGUGUGAAGACUCUUCAUUAGCAAAGGUGUUAAUUUCAGGAGAACUAGUGUUUAGGUUACGAGUAGUAUGAAGAGCUUGAAGUUCUGUCAAUACCACUUAUAAGGUAGCAUUAAUUUCAUCAAAGCUCGACUCGUGUCUAACUAGGAUUUCAUUGACUUCAUUGUGAAAUUAUGUGUUUGAUUUGCCGCGAGUAUCCAUGGUCUAAACCAAGAAUAACUAGGGUGAACUAGGACCUGUGGGUUAUGGGGAACAGGCUCUGAUACCACUGAUAUAAUUAAUUUAAGAAAGAAGAAGCAUAGCAAAGAAGAUCGAAGUCUGUGGUUAGGGAUUAUUCAGUACCCUUCUAUUAAAAAAAACUUUGACAUUUAUAGUCAUAUACUUCGUAACAGAAUUAACAAACAAAAAGGAAGGAGUUACAACACUCUUCACGUCUAACAAUUAACUAACUUAUCCAUGUUCUGCAGUUCCCUAAAGUAGUGCAGUCACUACUUGUUCCUGUAGCAUGAUCUCCUGGCCACGUUCUUGUGAUAGAGGAUGUAUCAUUUAAGUGCUUCUGGCACCGUGACAGUGUUUGAAAUAUGGAUCAUCUGAUAUUCUUUCCAUUGAAAUACACUAGUGUCCAGGUGAAACACAAAAGGAGCCAUGAUCAGCUAACAAAAUUCAAGCAGUAAAUAGAAAACCCUCCUUAACAAGCACCGUACCAAAUAAUAACCGAUAGUUAUGUGAUGUUGCAGGCCUUUCAGCAGUUCACUGGUAUCAACACAGUCAUGUACUAUAGCCCAACCAUUGUGCAGAUUGCUGGUUUUAGUUCCAACCAGUUAGCACUUCUCCUGUCCCUUGUUAUUGUUGCCAUGAACGCCGCCGGAACAGUUCUUGGCAUUUACCUUAUUGAUCAUUUCGGGAGGAAAAAGUUGGCCAUCUCAAGCUUAGCUGGUGUAAUUGCAUCACUUUUCAAUAUUCUUGCUGGAGCAUUUUUUGGCAAGUCAUCUGGUUCUUCAAAUGAACUCUAUGGGUGGAUUGCAGUUUUGGGGUUAGCGCUGUGCAUUGCUUGCUUCUCACCAGGAAUGGGAC
rnacentral:lncRNA from 1 species